UCAAUGCCGGCAGUGCCAAUGAGCUUCUGAGCCUG
rnacentral:scRNA from 1 species